rnacentral:rRNA from 1 species
AUGCUGGAGGUAUCAGAAGUGCGAAUGCUGACAUAAGUAACGAUAAAGCGGGUGAAAAGCCCGCUCGCCGGAAGACCAAGGGUUCCUGUCCAACGUUAAUCGGGGCAGGGUGAGUCGACCCCUAAGGCGAGGCCGAAAGGCGUAGUCGAUGGGAAACAGGUUAAUAUUCCUGUACUUGGUGUUACUGCGAAGGGGGGACGGAGAAGGCUAUGUUGGCCGGGCGACGGUUGUCCCGGUUUAAGCGUGUAGGCUGGUUUUCCAGGCAAAUCCGGAAAAUCAAGGCUGAGGCGUGAUGACGAGGCACUACGGUGCUGAAGCAACAAAUGCCCUGCUUCCAGGAAAAGCCUCUAAGCAUCAGGUAACAUCAAAUCGUACCCCAAACCGACACAGGUGGUCAGGUAGAGAAUACCAAGGCGCUUGAGAGAACUCGGGUGAAGGAACUAGGCAAAAUGGUGCCGUAACUUCGGGAGAAGGCACGCUGAUAUGUAGGUGAAGUCCCUCGCGGAUGGAGCUGAAAUCAGUCGAAGAUACCAGCUGGCUGCAACUGUUUAUUAAAAACACAGCACUGUGCAAACACGAAAGUGGACGUAUACGGUGUGACGCCUGCCCGGUGCCGGAAGGUUAAUUGAUGGGGUUAGCGCAAGCGAAGCUCUUGAUCGAAGCCCCGGUAAACGGCGGCCGUAACUAUAACGGUCCUAAGGUAGCGAAAUUCCUUGUCGGGUAAGUUCCGACCUGCACGAAUGGCGUAAUGAUGGCCAGGCUGUCUCCACCCGAGACUCAGUGAAAUUGAACUCGCUGUGAAGAUGCAGUGUACCCGCGGCAAGACGGAAAGACCCCGUGAACCUUUACUAUAGCUUGACACUGAACAUUGAGCCUUGAUGUGUAGGAUAGGUGGGAGGCUUUGAAGUGUGGACGCCAGUCUGCAUGGAGCCGACCUUGAAAUACCACCCUUUAAUGUUUGAUGUUCUAACGUUGACCCGUAAUCCGGGUUGCGGACAGUGUCUGGUGGGUAGUUUGACUGGGGCGGUCUCCUCCUAAAGAGUAACGGAGGAGCACGAAGGUUGGCUAAUCCUGGUCGGACAUCAGGAGGUUAGUGCAAUGGCAUAAGCCAGCUUGACUGCGAGCGUGACGGCGCGAGCAGGUGCGAAAGCAGGUCAUAGUGAUCCGGUGGUUCUGAAUGGAAGGGCCAUCGCUCAACGGAUAAAAGGUACUCCGGGGAUAACAGGCUGAUACCGCCCAAGAGUUCAUAUCGACGGCGGUGUUUGGCACCUCGAUGUCGGCUCAUCACAUCCUGGGGCUGAAGUAGGUCCCAAGGGUAUGGCUGUUCGCCAUUUAAAGUGGUACGCGAGCUGGGUUUAGAACGUCGUGAGACAGUUCGGUCCCUAUCUGCCGUGGGCGCUGGAGAAUUGAGGGGGGCUGCUCCUAGUACGAGAGGACCGGAGUGGACGCAUCACUGGUGUUCGGGUUGUCAUGCCAAUGGCACUGCCCGGUAGCUAAAUGCGGAAGAGAUAAGUGCUGAAAGCAUCUAAGCACGAAACUUGCCCCGAGAUGAGUUCUCCCUGACUCCUUGAGAGUCCUGAAGGAACGUUGAAGACGACGACGUUGAUAGGCCGGGUGUGUAAGCGCAGCGAUGCGUUGAGCUAACCGGUACUAAUGAACCGUGAGGCUUAACCUU